GGCCAGACUCCUACGGGAGGCAGCAGUGGGGAAUAUUGCACAAUGGGGGGAACCCUGAUGCAGCGACGCCGCGUGGGUGAAGAAGCGCCUCGGCGCGUAAAGCCCUGUCAGCAGGGAAGAAAAUGACGGUACCUGAAGAAGAAGCCCCGGCUAACUACGUGCCAGCAGCCGCGGUAAUACGUAGGGGGCAAGCGUUAUCCGGAUUUACUGGGUGUAAAGGGGGCGCAGACGGCGAUGCAAGCCAGGAGUGAAAGCCCGGGGCCCAACCCCGGGACUGCUCUUGGAACUGCGUGGCUGGAGUGCAGGAGGGGCAGGCGGAAUUCCUGGUGUAGCGGUGAAAUGCGUAGAUAUCAGGAGGAACACCGGUGGCGAAGGCGGCCUGCUGGACUGCAACUGACGUUGAGGCCCGAAAGCGUGGGGAGCAAACAGGAUUAGAUACCCUAGUAU
rnacentral:rRNA from 1 species